rnacentral:rRNA from 1 species
AACGAACGCUGGCGGCAGGCUUAACACAUGCAAGUCGAGCGAACCCUUCGGGGUGAGCGGCGGACGGGUUAGUAACGCGUGGGAACGUGCCCUUGGGUAAGGAACAACCAUUGGAAACGAUGGCUAAUACCUUAUGAUGUCUUCGGACCAAAGAUUUAUCGCCCAAGGAUCGGCCCGCGUUGGAUUAGAUAGUUGGUGGGGUAAUGGCCUACCAAGUCGACGAUCCAUAGCUGGUUUGAGAGGAUGAUCAGCAACACUGGGACUGAGACACGGCCCAGACUCCUACGGGAGGCAGCAGUGGGGAAUCUUGGACAAUGGGCGCAAGCCUGAUCCAGCCAUGCCGCGUGAUCGAUGACGGCCCUAGGGUUGUAAAGAUCUUUCAGUGGGGAUGAUAAUGACAGUACCCACAGAAGAAGUCCCGGCUAACUCCG